rnacentral:rRNA from 1 species
AGAGCGAACGCUGGCGGCAGGCCUAACACAUGCAAGUCGAACGGAUCCUUCGGGAUUAGUGGCGGACGGGUGAGUAACACGUGGGAACGUGCCUUUUGGUUCGGAACAACUCAGGGAAACUUGAGCUAAUACCGAAUGUGCCCUUCGGGGGAAAGAUUUAUCGCCAUUAGAGCGGCCCGCGUCUGAUUAGCUAGUUGGUAGGGUAAAGGCCUACCAAGGCUACGAUCAGUAGCUGGUCUGAGAGAUGAUCAGCCACAUUGGGACUGAGACACGGCCCAAACUCCUACGGGAGGCAGCAGUGGGGAAUCUUGCGCAAUGGGCGAAAGCCUGACGCAGCCAUGCCGCGUGAAUGAUGAAGGUCUUAGGAUUGUAAAAAUUCUUUCACCGGGGAAGAUAAUGACUGUACCCGGAGAAGAAGCUCGGCUAACUUCGUGCCAGCAGCCGC